ACUCAAAGGAAUAGACGGGGGCCCGCACAAGCGGUGGAGCAUGUGGUUUAAUUCGACGCAACGCGCAGAACCUUACCCAGACUUGACAUCCAUCAAACUCGACCCAAAAGUUGAGGUGCCCGCAAGGGAAUGGUGAGACAGGUGCUGCAUGGCUGUCGUCAGCUCGUGUCGUGAGAUGUUGGGUUAAGUCCCGCAACGAGCGCAACCCUCGCCUUUAGUUGCUCCGCAAGGAGAUCUCUAGAGGGACCGCCAGUGAUAAGCUGGAGGAAGGUGGGGAUGACGUCAAGUCCUCAUGGCCUUUAUGUCUGGGGCUACACACGUGCUACAAUGGCGAGUACAAAGCGUUGCCAACCCGCGAGGGGGAGCUAAUCGCAUAAAACUCGUCUCAGUUCGGAUUGGAGUCUGCAACUCGGCUCCAUGAAGUCGGAAUCGCUAGUAAUCGCAGAUCAGCACGCUGCGGUGAAUACGUUCCCGGGCCUUGUACACACCGCCCGU
rnacentral:rRNA from 1 species